rnacentral:rRNA from 1 species
UACGGAGGAUGCAAGCGUUAUCCGGAAUGAUUGGGCGUAAAGCGUCUGCAGGCGGCAGUUCAAGUCUGCUGUCAAAGACCGGGGCUUAACUUCGGAAAGGCAGUGGAAACUGAACAGCUAGAGUAUGGUAGGGGCAGAGGGAAUUCCUGGUGUAGCGGUGAAAUGCGUAGAGAUCAGGAAGAACAUCGGUGGCGAAGGCGCUCUGCUGGACCAUAACUGACACUCAGGGACGAAAGCUAGGGGAGCGAAUGGG